AAACCAACAGGGAUUGCCUCAGUAACGGCGAGUGAAGCGGCAAAAGCUCAAAUUUGAAAUCCCCGGGAAUUGUAAUUUGAAGGACCUAUUAAAACCCUGAGAGAGCCCAAAGUCCAUUGGAAAAUGGCGCCAUAGAAGGUGAUAGCCCUGUGUGGACCUCUCUCAGUAUACUUUUUAGGCCCAAAGAGUCGAGUUGUUUGGGAAUGCAGCUCUAAGUGGGUGGUAAAUUCCAUCUAAAGCUAAAUAUUGGCGAGAGACCGAUAGCGAACAAGUACAGUGAUGGAAAGAUGAAAAGCACUUUGAAAAGAGAGUGAAAAAGUACGUGAAAUUGUUGAAAGGGAAGGGCUUGCAAGCAGACACAACCUCGGUUGGGCCAGCAUCGGGGCGGGGGGAAACAAAAAAAGGUGUGGAAUGUGGCUCUUACGAGUGUUAUAGCCCCACCCAAUAUUUCCAUCCCAUCCCGAGGCCUGCGAUUCUUCAAGGAUGCUGGCGUAAUGGUUGCAAGUCGC
rnacentral:rRNA from 1 species